rnacentral:rRNA from 1 species
GACGAACGCUGGCGGCGUGCCUAAUACAUGCAAGUCGAGCGAGGCCCAUCCGGUGGCAACACCGGGGAAGGCCGAGCGGCGAACGGGUGAGUAACACGUGAGCAACCUGCCCCGAAGUCUGGAAUAACAUCGGGAAACCGGUGCUAAUACCGGAUCGCCCCACCUGACCGCAUGAUCGGGUGAGGAAAGAUUUAUCGCUUCGGGAGGGGCUCGCGGCCUAUCAGCUAGUUGGUGGGGUAACGGCCUACCAAGGCGUCGACGGGUAGCUGGUCUGAGAGGACGACCAGCCACACUGGGACUGAGACACGGCCCAGACUCCUACGGGAGGCAGCAGUAGGGAAUCUUGCGCAAUGGGCGGAAGCCUGACGCAGCAACGCCGCGUGGGGAUGACGGCC